UACAGAGGUCUCAAGCGUUGUUCGGAUUCAUUGGGCGUAAAGCGCGCGUAGGCGGCCCUGUAAGUCCGUUGUGAAAGUCAAAGGCUCAACCUUUGAAAGCCGAUGGAUACUGCAGGGCUAGAGUCCGGAAGAGGCGAGUGGAAUUCCUGGUGUAGCGGUGGAAUGCGCAGAUAUCAGGAGGAACACCAAUAGCGAAGGCAGCUCGCUGGGACGGUACUGACGUUAAGGCGCGAAAGCGUGGGGAGCGAACAGG
rnacentral:rRNA from 1 species